AACAGCCAAGAAGUGGGAUGACUUUGAGUAUUGCGAGGAGGAAAACAGCCAAGAAGUGGGAUGACUUUGAGUGUUACAAGGAGGAAAACAGCCAAGAAGUGGGAUGACUUUGAGUAUUACGAGGAGGAAAACAGCCAAGAAGUGGGGUGACUUUGAGUGUUACAAGGAGGAAAACAGCCAAGAAGUGGGAUGACUUUGAGUGUUACAAGGAGGAAAACAGCCAAGAAGUGGGAUGACUUUGAGUAUUACGAGGAGGAAAACAGCCAAGAAGUGGGGUGACUUUGAGUGUUACAAGGAGGAAAACAGCCAAGAAGUGGGAUGACUUUGAGUAUUACAAGGAGGAAAACAGCCAAGAAGUGGGGUGACUUUGAGUAUUACAAGGAGGAAAACAGCCAAGAAGUGGGGUGACUUUGAGUGUUACAAGGAGGAAAACAGCCAAGAAGUGGGAUGACUUUGAGUAUUGCGAGGAGGAAAACAGCCAAGAAGUGGGGUGACUUUGAGUGUUACAAGGAGGAAAACAGCCAAGAAGUGGGACGACUUUGAGUGUUACGAGGACGAGAGCAAGACCAGUGAGGCGGAGGGCUGUGACGGGGCGGACCACCCCAUGCCCGCCCAGCACCUCCAGCUCCCACUCAGAACAGGGAAAAAAAAUGUCCGGAGUGCAAGGGGGAGUUUUCCACGAAGAAGGCCGCCCUGAGCCACCGCUGCCACCAGACCAAGAGGAAGGAGCGUGAGAAAGUGACCUACUCCUGCAAGGGCUGCCUGCGUAGGUUCCUGCUGCGGAGGGAGUACUUGAAGCAUGCCGACGCCUGCUGCAAGAACACUCCCGUCACCUGUAAUCUGUGCCUGGUAAAGUUACCCAGUGCUGCUUACCUGCCUGGCCACCUGGCUGCCCUGAAGCCUCCUCUCAGCAAGGGCAGCACCUUGUGUGAGGCGUGUGGCCGAGGGUUCAGCAGGAAGGAGGCGCUCCAGCGGCACAAGGCGAGAGUCCACGGGAAGGCCCACGGCAGCCACCAGUGUGGCCGCACCUUUCCCCACACCUCCCUGCUGGCCGAGCACCUCAGGCCACACCAGGGAUGCACUUGUCCGGAAUGUUCCAAGGUGUUCAGAUCCAACCUCACGCUGCACCGCCGGGCCCACCACUGCACCGCCUGCAACAAACACUAGAAGUUCCACGCCAGCUACACCUACCACAUGAAGAAGUUCCACGGGAGCAGCGGUGUGGCGGGUGCCGGCCGGUGGUGUGCUCUGCGUCAGCACUCCCUGACCUGCCGCGUCCACCACACUCAGAGCACAGGGCAGGAGGCAGCUUUGGAAGACAUGCAGGGGGUGGCAGGGAGGUCAUGAAGCCACUCCCUGACAGUGCACCAGGUUGUGGCUCCCUGCUCAGCCCUGCCCACCUCAGCAAGAAAGGAACUGACAGCCUUGUCCUGCUGUCAGAGAUGAGGAAGAUUCAAGUGUACCCACCUCCAAACACCUCCCACCAGGCGCCUCCUGCGGUGGAAAUCAUUGUGGAGGUGUUGGAGGACACGGAUGCAGAGUACCAGUACAUCAUCUUGGUGGAGGACGCUGCCGUGGCCCACUUCACCAUGACGGACACUGCUGCCAUAUGGAACACCUCAGGCCGCCAGUAGGCAGACAGUGACAUGGAACGGGUAUAAGAUGGCGAAAGGCAGUAAUGUAUGGGAGAUGAUGAUCCAGGCCGAGAUGCCGUAGAAGUUGAGUUUCGUCGGGUGGGCGGGCAUCAACGAUGGACGUCUGGAAGGAGCUGAUCGUCCACACGGCAAGACUUCACACCAGGAGGAAGGCCAUCCAGGAUGAAGGUGGUCUGCAGGGUGGUCUGACGGCACAGCAGCACCAUCAACUAUCAAUCCUGAGGAGAGAUGCGUCAUUAGCUGGCAGGGCUCGCGGCACGGACAGUGGACAGCCAGUGGGAAUGGCAUUUUUAAAGUGUUUCCUACAACUUGUAGCUGUGUCACCGAUGAGCCCAACACCCUGAAAACGUUUCUUGCUUUAAAAGAUGUAAAUGGUAAUGUCUCAAACAAUAUGGAGGAUGCAGUUAUUUGGGAUGGAGAAAAACUACAUGGAGCCAUACAGUUAUCAUGAAGAGGUCACUAGUGAAGAGAAUGAAGUGCUAAGCUUGGAAGUUCUCAGUGCAACAGCAGAUGAAUUAAAUAAAGCUGUGCAAGGAAUGAGUGAAGGAAAAGCAGGAAGAGGAGAUGGCCUAGUUAAAGAUGCUAGUGAUUUCAUACCUAUUAAAUUUAGUAGAAGUUCUGCAUUGUAAGUAACACAUCAAACCAAUCACAUCAAUACACUUCCCAUUUGGUGCUGUAAAAUUAAGUAAACCUUAAAGACAGUAUUUGAUCAUCUUAAGGAACCCUCCUGGCAGCAGCUGUAGAGGAACUGUGAAUGAGGAGAGCUGAGCCAUGGGGAGCAGUGAGUAUGUGGCUGCCUCUGUAAUUGGCUGACAACCCUCAUCCAUGCUGGCUCCAGUUUCCUAUUAUAUAUAUAAGGGUUAGAGUAGCUUCCUUUGUGCUAGGGGGGUGGACAUUGCUAUGAGGAAGGAAUGAUAACUUUAAUGUGUUGUGUAAGGAUGGGAGGGAGAAAGGAAUGAAAGCUUGUAUCAGAGGUUUGGUGUGGGUGUAACAGUCAUGGAUGUAUAUUGUGGAAUGGUUGAAUGGGUGAAGUGUGGUGCUCUGAGAUGGUUUAACCUCUUGACUGCAGAUUUCCUACAAGAAGACAUCACCAAGCUACAGGAAUGGAACAAAAAGUGGCUGCUACAAUUCAAUGAAGAAAAUGUAAAGUCCUGCACCUUGGGAGGGGAAAUCCAGCAUAUCAAUAUCACAUGGGAAACACUCCACUAUCCACCACAAGGCAGAGAAAGCCAGUGAAGGCGAAAUAUGUGCCAAUUGGGUUAAACAUGUGACAGGCACGAGGGAAGGUGUUAGAGGCGGACCAGCAGAGAAAUGGAUCAAUAGAGUGGACAAGUAUGAGAGAGUUGGUAGAUGAGGGACUAAGUGUGCUGAGAGAUAUAACAGGGAAAGCUGGAGAUGAUACUGUUGUGGCCACCCCCUUGAGGAAAGCUCUCACAGGGGGACAAACACUGUGUCAGAUGCAGAAAAAACAACAACUCAAAUUUAAUAACAAGAAUUUAAGGAGUCUCCAAGAGGCCGCCACCACUGACCCUUGUGCUGAAGCCUUGUGAAUUGGUUUAAAUUUAUGUAAGAUUAAUAGCCUACAUGUGCACUAUGUCUAAACACUUAACAAUGAUUAGGUUCAAGUAUUUGUGCAGUAUCGUGACAUUAGUGAAUCCUACUAUGGUUAAAAUAACACUAAAAUAAACUUCCAUCACUGAGCAAGUUUUAAAGUUAGGAUAAGUGUUUGCAGCCAUGGAUCAGCAAAGGAAGAGAUCGCCUGGCUGCCGCUCGCCUGGUAGUUCCCAAAAGGUCUAUAGUAUUCUUUUUACAGCAUAGGAGGCAGCUGAAGGCAGAACAAUAUGACGAGAAGCAUGCAACUCACCGUCCCGAUAAUGUUAGCAAAGGUGACCGCUGGGAAAUCCGUGAUAUCAUGUGUUAACCAUUGAGGCAGCGACCUAUUACUGGGCAUCCAAUAAUUGUUUGUCAUUGUUCAAACUUUUAUUUUCCUCUUCCAAAAUAUUUCUAUGUGAUGUAUAUAUGCACGAGAAGGGAGGAGAAUGCCUUGACAGGAGGAAGGAAAUAUCUUAAGUCCGUAUUCUCAGUGACAACAAAAACAUUCAUUGGGUGCGCGGUAGAUUAAUCUCAGUAAUUGUCUGUUUUCUUCAUAUCCACACUGCAGAACCCUUGACAGACUACUGCUAUCGGCUCAUAAAACUUCCCAAGGAACUACCCACAGCCUAUACGAAAGCUUUAUCAAAUGUGGAUGUGUGUAAGCCUCGAAACGUUUGAGUACGUGGGCCGAAACGUUUGGGAGGUGUAUUAGCCCUGAAACGUUUUUGCUUAUGGGCCUCAUAGCCUACACUCCUCCAAUGGCUUACGGUCAUUUCUCCCACACGUCAAUUCGCCCACAUGUCAGAGUCAGUUCGCCCACAUGUAAGUCAAUUCGCCCACACGUUUCACGUCACGUCUACAUUGUUGGAGUAGUCAUAUAGUACCAUGUCAUUGGUGUGUAGUUGGAGAGGCCGCCAUCAGGGCAGUGCAGCAGUAGAAGGCUUGUCGGGGCUUUUAUCGAGUGGUAAAUAGAGAAUUAAAAAAAGAAAAGCUAUAUGUAAAUUUAUUAAACCCAUGUGCUGAAUACAAAUAUAUGAUUAAAACCUUUAA